GACGAACGCUGGCGGCGUGCUUAACACAUGCAAGUCGAACGAAGUGGCGAACGGGUGAGUAACGCGUAAUCCACCUGCCCUUCCGAGGGGGACAACAGUUGGAAACGACUGCUAAUACCGCAUACUGAAGUAGGGGAUUGCGUCUGAUUGGUUAGUUGGAGGGGUAACGGCCCACCAAGGCGAUGAUCAGUAGCCGGUCUGAGAGGAUGAACGGCCAAAGUGGGACUGAGACACGGCCCAGACUCCUACGGGAGGCAGCAGUAGGGAAUCUUCCGAAAUGGACGGAAGUCUGACGGAGCAACGCCGCGUGAGUGAUGACGGCCUUCGGGUUGUAAAGCUCUGUUAAUCGGGACGCGGUACCGGAAUAGAAAGCCACGGCUAACUACGUGCCAGCAGCCGCGGUAAUAC
rnacentral:rRNA from 1 species